GAGUGGGUGGGGAAAGCGCUUCGGGUGAGGAGUUGCAACUCUGGCGAGAAGUUGUGAGAAAAUUGUGAUCCGGAGACACCUUUUACAAACAAAAACAAAUGACUAGGUGGGAAACCGCGGGGCUCCCGCAGCUGGGGGAGGUGGUAGCAGCGGGGGACUGCACCUUGGCUGCAGGGGAGGGAGGCGUGCAGCGCGAUGGCAGAGUAGCCUGGCUCCCAGACCUUCCCUUUUCUGGGCUUCGAGCUAGUUCGUUUCUUCAGACAUCAGCGGACCACACCUACCAAAGUACACUCUUUAGGGAUAAAACACGUUCCUAAUUUUGCCGGCGUUAUAAACUUAUGGUGGCCGCCUACGAGGGCGGGGGCGAAUCUGCCUGGGCGUGGGAGUCUAUGCUGGUCCUGAGGGCUUGAACUUUUAAGUCAUUCUGGAUCCCAGGAGCACUCAAGUUAACUGUAGCGACUGCUUUUUUUCUUAAGCUUAACCCAAAUUGAUCUCAAAGCUGUGCUACUUUUACUAUCUAUUUGGGGGGUUUGCUAGGAAGGUCCAUUUGAUCAAAUUUUGGGAAAAAUAAGGGUGUCACUGCAGCCAUAUCUAGAUGGCAUUUCAGAAUCUGCCUUUUGAGUUACUUCUUCUAUACACCUGGCAGAUCUUCCACAGGGCUCCAUUAGGAGAAAAGGGCGCGGAAACGCAGUUGGACUGGCAGUGAAUCCGGGUCCACACACAGAAUACCCUCUUCCAGCGAAGAGAGAAGCAGCUGCCACGAAUUUGGCUUGUGUUGAAUGGCAUUGUUAGUUUUUAGGGCUAUGCCAACGCCCCCCUUCCUGCUUUCUCUUGCACCUACCAGCAACCCCGAAGCUCUUCAACAGCUCUGCCUUCCUACCGGCAAGAUCUCUGGUUUGUAAACCCAAUCCGCCAAGGCCUUCCUCACUCGCCUCCUCGGCGAUCUGCCCUCCAACCCCCACCUCUGAGCAGCAGACCUCAGUGCAUUCUCCGUACCUCAGUCCACAUACACUCUCGCUUGGAGCAGCUGUGGAGCAAAGCUGGUUAGCUCUCACACAACAACCCCUCUCCUGUUUUUUUUUUCUAGGCUUAGACUCAGGGUUGAGCAGGGGUUAGAAGGCGACCCUCCCACCUAUCAGGAGGGCUCUUCGGGUUCCGACUGGGUGUCGGGAUCUUCCUGCGGACCCGACACUUCCUAGAACAAGUCGACUAGUAUCAAGAAUUCUGGCACACACACAUCCCCACCCCGGACGUGUCAAGUGCGGCGGAGUGCCAGAACCCCUAUUACCCCGACUCCCAAGCGGCUGCCAAAAAGAAGGGACCUUCAGUCCCCAAGCUCUCCACCCCCAACUGUUCCAGAACUAGCUGCUAUCACCCUGGACUCAACCGCCCCUCUCAGGAGCCUGUAGUCGUCCAGGUCCCCGGUGGCUCACACUCGGAGCAGCUGGGCUACUUCACAUGUAAAGCAGAGGGGCCCGGGAGGGGGCAACUAAGGAACUGUUGUGGCGGGAACCUGUAGGGCGCCCUUGGACUCCGUUGCCCGCCUUUUCCGACUCGCAUCUUCCUUCGGUAGUCGGGGAGAAGUUGUUUUACUGAUUUGGGGCGUAACGACGUUGAGGCCAAGGUAUGGGAGAAAGGGCUUCUUUUAGAGGAUGGGAGUUGGGCGAAGACAGGACACUGGUUCUAGAGCAUAGUGUUCUGUAGGUCUCGGUGUCCAGAUGCUGAAGAAAACCGGCCGAGGAGCUAAUUCCGGCUUCUGGAAUGCGAGUAUGUCAACGAGCAAGAGCAAUGCAAGGCAUGUCUCUUGGCUCCUUGAUUCUGUUUAAAAUCCAUAUUUAACACUUCUGCGGUGACAGCACACAGGACUAACGGUUUCUUUUUUCCCACCGUUUCCAUUGAGCUCUUAUUUUGAAAAUGUAAUCAGUAGUGGAGACAAGGAGAGAAAACUGAGCCAGCAUUCUAAAUCCGACAUCUCUGAAUCCACUGUGUAUACAUGACCUCUGAAGAAGAUUCCCAACCUUCCCUCCUCACCUACACCACCAGGCAGUCCACGAUCUCAAGUACACCCGUUUUACUACCAUCCAUCCUUCAAAGUCACAUAGACCCUCAGCCACUUACACCCCGGCGGCUGUCCUGACAUUCAAUUUGGACGGCUGGCCAUCAUUCAGCGAUCACAAAAUCCCCUCCACCCGACUCCCAAGGCACCGCAAGAAAAGGCCCCAGAGGGCCCAGAUAGUGGCUUCCACAGUCGAGGUUUGUCUUCCUAGAAUCAGCUCGAAUAGAGAGAGAUCUUUCCCUCCAUUCCAGCCUUCCCUGCUCACACACCCACUGAUCUCCCUUGCCUCCUGGGUCCGGAGCCCUUGAACCCAUAUCCUUCACACCCCAUACCCUAGUAUGGAGUGUUUCCCACCAACCAGGGGCUGUUACCGUUCUUUCUUAGUCACUGUGGGUUGCUAUUCAAUUCCCAGAGCAGCCGCUUCCUCCCUCCUGUCCAGACCAUGAUCCCCAGAAAAGGGCCGAGCCACAGUAGGCUUCAAGGGCUGCCAGUCACAAAACCCGGUACAUCCAGCAGCAUAGGUCAAGAGGGGAGGAAGGAAGGGGCCAGCUAGAUGCACUUUGGACCCUUGCCGUCUGGAAACCACACAAACUCAGCACAGACCUGUGAAGAUCCAGUUUAUGCAACUCUCAGGGAACAGCUGGAUCCAAUCCUGCCUCCUUCCCUUCCCCUCUCUCGUGCUCUUAAUAAUGCAGUACUUUCUAGUUUAUAUCGCAGUCUCCCCUAAACUGCAUAGUAGAAAGAGGAGACAGAUUUUUUAGUUUUUACACUUUCCCAGACAGGAACCCCAAUCCAAGCAAGGACGCCUGCUCCUGAGAAGUUGCUCCAGAGCGCGCUUGGCUCCUGGGGGGCAGAGCUUGGGCAAUGGUAGGGGAUGGACAGCGGAGUCAAGAAAGGGCAGUAUUCUUCAGGAUGCCACGAUGUGCACCUGGCCUCGAUGCAGAGGCCUCCUAGCAAAGUGUGAAGGGACGGCCCUCCUCCAGGGUUGAAGAAAGAAAGCAAAGAAGGGGAGCCCAAGGAAAGGUGGGGCCAGUUGGGAUUUUUAGAUAACACUCUUCUGGUAUGCUUCUCAUGUGUUGUAUGUUAUAAUCUCCAAAUUUCACAUUUAUUGUGGUAACCUGCAGUGUGUAGUCACCAGCCAAAUGCAGCUUGGCCAAAACAGUGUUAAAUAAAACUGUAAGAAAUGC
rnacentral:lncRNA from 1 species